CGCCCGCGGGACCGAGUGGCGGAAGCCAAGGGGGCGGUCUCGCGCCGGCCUGCUUUCCGGCACGGCGCUCAGGUCUCGUCCGCAAGGCCCGGCGGCGGCAGCGGCGACGCGGGAGGAACGGCGGAGCGGCGCCUGGAACUCUAUUUUAAGAACAUCUCAAAAAGAAAAAAACAAGUCAUGGAGAAGAAGGAGAAUAACCGAAAGCUUCGGGUUUGUGUUGCUACUUGCAACCGUGCUGAUUAUUCUAAACUCGCCCCAAUCAUGUUUGGCAUUAAAAUGGAACCUGAGUUCUUUGAACUUGACGUGGUGGUACUUGGCUCUCACCUGAUAGAUGACUAUGGAAACACAUAUCGCAUGAUUGAACAAGAUGACUUUGACAUUAACACCAGACUACACACAAUUGUCAGAGGGGAAGAUGAGGCAGCCAUGGUGGAGUCAGUGGGCCUGGCCCUUGUGAAGCUACCAGAUGUUCUUAACCGCCUGAAGCCUGAUAUCAUGAUUGUUCAUGGAGACAGGUUUGAUGCCCUGGCUCUGGCUACGUCUGCUGCCUUGAUGAACAUCCGAAUCCUUCACAUUGAAGGGGGGGAAGUCAGUGGGACCAUUGAUGACUCUAUCAGACACGCUAUAACGAAACUGGCUCAUUAUCAUGUGUGCUGCACCCGAAGUGCAGAGCAACACCUGAUUUCCAUGUGUGAGGACCAUGAUCGCAUCUUGUUGGCAGGCUGCCCUUCCUAUGACAAACUUCUCUCCGCCAAGAACAAAGACUACAUGAGCAUCAUUCGGAUGUGGUUAGGUGAUGAUGUAAAAUCUAAAGAUUACAUUGUUGCACUACAGCACCCUGUGACCACGGACAUUAAGCAUUCCAUAAAAAUGUUUGAAUUAACAUUGGAUGCACUUAUCUCAUUUAACAAGCGGACCCUAGUUCUGUUUCCAAAUAUUGAUGCAGGGAGCAAAGAGAUGGUUCGAGUGAUGCGGAAGAAGGGCAUUGAGCAUCAUCCCAAUUUUCGUGCAGUUAAACAUGUCCCAUUUGACCAGUUUAUACAGCUGGUUGCCCAUGCUGGUUGUAUGAUUGGGAACAGCAGCUGUGGGGUACGAGAGGUUGGAGCUUUUGGAACACCUGUGAUCAACCUAGGAACACGUCAGAUUGGAAGAGAAACAGGGGAGAAUGUCCUUCAUGUCCGGGAUGCUGAUACCCAAGACAAAAUAUUGCAAGCGCUGCACCUUCAGUUUGGUAAACAGUACCCUUGUUCAAAGAUAUAUGGGGAUGGAAAUGCUGUUCCGAGGAUUUUGAAGUUUCUCAAAUCUAUUGAUCUUCAAGAGCCACUACAAAAGAAAUUCUGUUUUCCUCCUGUGAAGGAUAACAUCUCCCAAGAUAUUGACCAUAUUCUUGAAACUCUGAGUGCCUUGGCUGUUGAUCUUGGUGGGACGAACCUCCGAGUUGCAAUAGUCAGCAUGAAGGGUGAAAUAGUUAAGAAGUAUACUCAGUUCAAUCCUAAAACCUAUGAAGAGAGGAUUAAUUUAAUCCUACAGAUGUGUGUAGAAGCUGCAGCAGAAGCUGUAAAACUGAACUGCAGAAUUUUGGGAGUAGGCAUUUCCACAGGUGGCCGUGUAAAUCCUCGGGAAGGAAUUGUGCUGCAUUCAACCAAACUGAUUCAAGAGUGGAACUCUGUGGAUCUCAGGACCCCCCUGUCUGACACUUUGCAUCUCCCCGUAUGGGUAGACAAUGAUGGCAACUGUGCUGCCCUGGCAGAAAGGAAAUUCGGCCAAGGAAAGGGCCUUGAAAACUUUGUGACACUUAUCACAGGCACAGGAAUUGGCGGGGGGAUCAUCCAUCAGCAUGAACUGAUCCAUGGCAGCUCCUUCUGCGCUGCGGAGCUUGGCCACAUUGUGGUGUCCCUGGAUGGGCCUGACUGUUCCUGUGGAAGCCAUGGGUGUAUUGAAGCAUAUGCCUCUGGAAUGGCCUUGCAGAGGGAAGCAAAAAAGCUACAUGAUGAAGACCAACUCUUGGUGGAAGGGAUGUCAGUGCCAAAAGACGAAGCUGUGGGCGCACUCCAUCUCAUCCAAGCUGCGAAACUUGGCAAUGCAAAGGCCCAGAGCAUCUUGAGAACAGCUGGAACAGCAUUGGGUCUUGGGGUUGUGAACAUCCUCCACACUAUGAAUCCUUCCCUUGUGAUCCUCUCUGGAGUCCUAGCCAGUCACUAUAUCCACACUGUCAAAGACGUCAUCCGCCAGCAAGCCUUGUCCUCGGUUCAGGACGUGGACGUGGUGGUUUCGGAUUUGGUGGAACCCGCCCUGCUCGGCGCCGCCAGCAUGGUUCUGGACUACACGACUCGCAGGAUCUACUAGUCCUCCAAAGAGUGGACGUGGACUCCGGAGAUUCAAGAGCUCCUUGGUGGAAUCAGGUUGUCUUCUAGAUGAGCAUUUCUUAAAAGGCAAAUUUGGUAUUUCAAUUUAUUUGGCAGGCAACUUUGGCAGUUUCUGCCUUUAGUCUCCUCUUCCAAAGUCACUUUUCCCAACCCCUGUUUUUGUAGAUGCUGCUCCUUGUGGGGUCAUUUCAGCUCAAACCUUGUCACAAUCUUCUGUGCCAAAAGGAGCUACAGUAGCAGCCGAGGAAGCCUUAUGACUCUGCUUAUUAGAUGUACCACUUAGACCUGCAGGCCUUGCUUGGGGUGUGACCUUGAUACUGGAGUUUGGAUUAUUAAUCCUGCCUCCUCUGACCCUAAGUUCAGAACACAGAAAGGGAUCCAGUCAGGGAAGAGAAGGAAAUCUCACCAUGAAGGGCUUAAGUAAACCUUUCAAAAGCAGUUUUAUUGAGGUAUUUUUUUUUUUGAGGUAUUUUUUAAAGUGCACAAUUUGGUUAAGUUUUGACAUAUAUGUACCUAUGAAACCAUGGCCACAAUAAGGACAUCAGGUGUAUAUAUCUCUCACCCCCAAACGUUACUUGUUGAAAGAUGUUAUUUGCUAUUACUCUCUCAGAAUCCUGAGCAACUUUAGAUCAGGGAUCUGAAUUACAGUGGCCUUAGUGACCUUGUCCUUAUCUUCUUAAGGCCAGCUGAGAAGCCACUAGGACUUACAGCCUCUGAAAGAUUAACCAUCCCAGAAGGAUCGUUGCUACUGACAAGCAGACACCUCUCCCUUCAACAGCUUUUCAUACUAUGUUGAAUAUGACCCUGGAGUGUUGAUUAAGGCAGUGUUUGUUGUGUGUCAUACCUAGAGCCCACAUCUGUGAAUCUGGAUUCUGGCUAAAUAAGAUUCCACGCUCGCACUGGUGUCAAGAUAACAAAGGCCAAGGUUCUUGCUAUUAAUUUCAACCUGGAAGAAAUACUGAUAGCCACCAUUUAUUAAGUGCCUACUGUGUGCCAGGCUCUGAACUUGGUGCUUCAUAUGCAUUAUUCUAAAUUCUCACAACCAGUAAGAUAAAUACCCAGAACUGGAAUUGCUGGAUAUGGGAGUUCCAUUGUAAUUUUUUGAGGAACCUCCAUACUGUUUUCCACAGUGGCUGCACCAGUUUACAUUCCCACCGGCAGUGCACAAGGGUUCCCUUUCUCCACCUCCUCUCCAACACUUGUUGUGUUUUUGAUAACAGCUAUUCUAAGAAAUGUGAGGUGGUAUCUCAUUGUGGUUUUGAUUUUCAUUUUCCCUGAUGAUUAGUGAUGUUGAGCACCUUUUCAUUUACCCAUUGGCCAGCUGUUUGGCUUCUUUGGAUAAAUGUCUAUUCAAAUCCUCUUAUUUUUAAAUUGGAUUGUUUUUAUGCUAUUGAGUUGUAUGAAUUCUUCACAUAUUUUGGAUAUGAACCCCUCACUGUAUGUAUGAUUUGCAAAUAUUUUCUCCCUUUUAGUAGGUUGUCUUUUCGUUUUGUCGAUGGUUUCUUUUGCUGUGCAGAGCUUUUUAGUUUGAUGUAGUCCCAGUCAUUUCUGCUCUUGUUGCCUUUGCUUUUGGCAUCAAAUCCAAAAAAAUCAUCACAAGACUGAUGUCAGGGAGCUUACUGCCUGUGUUUUCUUCUAGGAUUUUUAUGGUUUCAGGCCUUAUAGUCAAGUCUUUAAUCCAUUUUGAGUUAAUUUUUGUGUAUGGUGUAAGAUAAUGGUCCAGUUUUCCCAACACCAUUUAUGAAGUGACUGUCUUUCCUGAUUGUAUACUCUUGGCUCUUUUGUCAUAAAUUAACUGACCAUAUACGCAGGGGGUUAUUUUUGGGCUCUCUAUUCUGUUUCAUUGAUCUAUGUGUCUGUUUUUAUGCCAAUACCAGACUGUUUUACUAUAGCUUUGUAAUAUGGUUUGAAAUCAGAGUGAUGCUUCCAGCUUUGUUCUUUCUUGAGAUUGCUUUGGCUAUUCAGGGUCUUUUGUGUUUCCAUACUGAUUUUGGAUUGUUCUAUUUUUGUGAAAAAUGCCAUUGAGAUUUUGAUAGGUACUACAUUGAACCUGUACAUUGCUUUGGAUAGUAUGGACAUUUUAACAAUACUAAUUUUUCCAGUCCAUGAGCUUGGUGUCUGUCUUUAGUUUCUUUCAUUGGUUUCUGAUAGUUGUCAGUGUACAGUUUUUUCACCUCCUUGGUUAUAUUUAUUCUUAGGUAUUUUAUUCUUUUUGAUGUAAUUGUAAACGGAAUUGUUAAUUUCUCUAAUAGUUUGUUAUUAGUGUACAGAAAUGCAGCAAAUUUCUGUAUACUAAUUUUGUAUCCUAUAACAUAAUUCAUUUAUUAGUUAUUAGUAACAAUUUUUUGGUGGAGUCUUUAGGGUUUUUUAUAUAUAAAAUCAUGUCAUCUGCAAAUAGUGAGUUUUAUUGCUUCCUUUCCAACGUGGAUGCCUUUUAUUCUUUUCUUGCCUAAGUGCUCUGGCUAGGACUUCCAAUACUAUGUUGAAUCCAUUUAAAAUUUGACAUAAAAAGCAAAGUGGUCCCAAGAAAGAGGUUUGAAACUAAAUAUUGAGCACUCACUGAGCUUCUGAGCCAACUCCUUCCUUUUUUAUGAAGCCCCAUGUGAGUAAUGUAGGCAUUAGAAACAAUCCAAAGCUACUACUGCUAUGUAACAAACCACCUCAAAACUUAAGAGGCUUAAACGGUAAUCAUUUUCUCUCAUGGUUUCUGUGGGUCAGGAAUUUUGGAAAGGCUCUACUUGGCAAUUCUGACUUAGGGCAUCAGAUGCACUUGCAGUUAGACAGUGGCUGGAGCUG